rnacentral:rRNA from 1 species
CCUACGGGUGGCAGCAGUGGGGAAUAUUGCACAAUGGGGGAAACCCUGAUGCAGCGACGCCGCGUGAAGGAAGAAGUAUUUCGGUAUGUAAACUUCUAUCAGCAGGGAAGAAAAUGACGGUACCUGACUAAGAAGCCCCGGCUAACUACGUGCCAGCAGCCGCGGUAAUACGUAGGGGGCAAGCGUUAUCCGGAUUUACUGGGUGUAAAGGGAGCGUAGGCGGUUUAGCAAGUCAGAAGUGAAAGCCCGGGGCUCAACUCCGGGACUGCUUUUGAAACUGCGCGGCUGGAGUGCAGGAGGGGCAGGCGGAAUUCCUGGUGUAGCGGUGAAAUGCGUAGAUAUCAGGAGGAACACCGGUGGCGAAGGCGGCCUGCUGGACUGCGACUGACGUUGAGGCCCGAAAGCGUGGGGAGCAAACAGGAUUAGAUACCCUAGUAGUC